AUGGAUCCACAGGCCUUUAUUAGGUUGUCGAUAGGCUCUCUGGGAUUGAGAAAUAUCGGAAUUGAACUGAGCACUGAAAAAUCCGGAAUUCAAAGACUCUCUUCAUCUUAUGUUUGUGAGAUACGGCUUCGAGGUUUUCCUGUUCAAACGUCGCCAGUCCCAUUGAUAACCUCGGCCGAUGUCAUACAUACACAGAACACCACUUCAAGCUUUUACCUCGAGGAAUCCGAUUUAAAAGCAUUGUUAGCUCCAGGUUGGACCUGA